GACGAACGCUGGCGGCGUGCCUAACACAUGCGAGUCGAACGGAGUCGGCCCCGCAAGGGACUGACUUAGUGGCGAACGGGUGAGUAACGCGUGAGCAACCUGCCUUUCAGUGGGGGACAACAGUUGGAAACGACUGCUAAUACCGCAUAAUGCAUUUUGACCGCAUGAUCGAGAUGCCAAAGAUUUAUUGCUGAAAGAUGGGCUCGCGUCUGAUUAGAUAGUUGGUGAGGUAACGGCCCACCAAGUCGACGAUCAGUAGCCGGACUGAGAGGUUGAACGGCCACAUUGGGACUGAGAUACGGCACAGACUCCUACGGGAGGAAGCAGUGGGGAAUAUUGGGCAAUGGGGGAAACCCUGACCCAGCAACGCCGCGUGAAGGAAGAAGGCUUUCGGGUUGUAAACUUCUUUUACCAGGGACGAAGAAAGUGACGGUACCUGGAGAAAAAGCCACGGCUAACUACGUG
rnacentral:rRNA from 1 species